rnacentral:rRNA from 1 species
AUUGAACGCUGGCGGCAGGCCUAACACAUGCAAGUCGAGCGGGGUUUUCGGACCUAGCGGCGGACGGGUGAGCAAUGCGUAGGAAGCUGCCCGAUAGAGGGGGAUACCAGUUGGAAACGACUGUUAAUACCGCAUAAUGUCUACGGACCAAAGUGUGGGACCUUCGGGCCACAUGCUAUCGGAUGCGCCUACGUGGGAUUAGCUAGUUGGUGAGGGAAUGGCUCACCAAGGCGACGAUCUCUAGCCGGUUUGAGAGGAUGAUCAGCCACACUGGAACUGAGACACGGUCCAGACUCCUACGGGAGGCAGCAGUGGGGAAUAUUGGACAAUGGGCGCAAGCCUGAUCCAGCCAUGCCGCGUGUGUGAAGAAGGCCUUCGGGUUGUAAAGCACUUUCAGCGAGGAGGAAGGGUGGUGUGUUAAUAGCACAUCAUUUUGACGUUACUCGCAGAAGAAGCACCGGCUAACUCUGUGCCAGCCGCCGCUGUAACAC